CAGGGUAUAACUUAACUAAAAGUUUUUCGCUUACACCGAAACCAUAUUUGUGAAAAUCAAAUUUCCCUG
rnacentral:tRNA from 1 species